rnacentral:rRNA from 1 species
GUCUAUGGCCAUUCCACCCUGAACGUGUCCAAUCUCGUCUGGUCUUGGAAGCUAAGCAGGGUUGGGCCUGGUUAGUACUUGGAUGGGAGACCACCUAGGAAGACCAGGUGCUGUAGGCA